GCCGGGGUGGCCGAGCCUGGUUAGAGGCGGCGGCCUGCAGAGCCGCUAACGCCGGUUCAAAUCCGGCCCCCGGCU
rnacentral:tRNA from 1 species